rfam:Schistosoma rodhaini strain Burundi genome assembly, scaffold: SROB_scaffold0010107
GCACUGCUGAAGAGUCCCACGAUAGGAUGAAACAGCCGUCCAGUGC